rnacentral:rRNA from 1 species
AACGAACGCUGGCGGCAGGCUUAACACAUGCAAGUCGAACGCUCGUAGCAAUACGGGAGUGGCAGACGGGUGAGUAACGCGUGGGAACAUACCCUUUGGUUCGGAAUAACUGAGAGAAAUUUCAGCUAAUACCGGAUGUGCCCUUCGGGGGAAAGAUUUAUCGCCAAAGGAUUGGCCCGCGUCUGAUUAGGUAGUUGGUGAGGUAACGGCUCACCAAGCCGACGAUCAGUAGCUGGUCUGAGAGGAUGAUCAGCCACAUUGGGACUGAGACACGGCCCAAACUCCUACGGGAGGCAGCAGUGGGGAAUAUUGGACAAUGGGCGCAAGCCUGAUCCAGCCAUGCCGCGUGAGUGAUGAAGGCCUUCGGGUUGUAAAGCUCUUUUAUCCGGGAAGAUAAUGACUGUACCGGAAGAAUAAGCCCCGGCAAACUUCGUGCCAGCAGCCGCCGUAA